ensembl:processed_transcript predicted gene 14207
CUCGCCACCAGAGGAUAGAGGGUAGCCCAGUGAUGCGGCGGGAGACUUUAGGUAGCUCCUGCCUCGCUGGCCUCCAGCCUAUGUGUGCCCACCCUCCACGCGUCCCCAGCACCGCAGGGAAGCCAUCCGACGCGUUAACCUUUCCCUGGCUAUUCCAAGCAAGGCAAAGGGCCAAGCGUCUAAGACUCUGGUCGUCUCUGCACCUGUGCCUAUCUCACCUGGGUCGCGCUUGGUCUCCAUAGCCUCAUCCUGGCCCCCACCCGCGUCCCCUAGCUCCGCUGGAGUAGGGAGGAAACUUUCUUAAUUCCAGAAUUUCCUUGGGCCAGUUGAGAGGCAAGGCAACAUGAAGACAACUAGAGGCCACCUCGGGGGCGGGGCACAAACGAAAUUCACGGGUAGAGGAAAAGGCAGAGGACACACUCCUAAGGGAAGAGGCAAGAGGAGCAGAACGGAGGAGGGGAAAGAGCAGAGCGUGAAAAGUCAAGGGCCUUUUUUGGUAGGAGGCCGGUGAUUAGGUUCUUGACUGAACAACCUGGCCUUCUAGAGAAAACCUUCCCACUGAGACAACUCUCCUGCUGGAGGGUCGUCUUUCAGAGCAGCGGCCUGCAGAAAGGAAGAGGUGUCAUCCUUGAAUGGAUCUAAUCAGAGAGGGUGCUGGCCUCCGAGAGAGAGGGGCGGGGCUCGGCUUUUCCUCAUGCCUCUGAGAGACCCCACUUCCUGGGUUCACUGUCCACUGCUCAUGCCUGAUGACCCAACAUGUGCCAAAUAAAGGAUACCCAAGUGGGCAGGAUUACUGGG